rnacentral:rRNA from 1 species
UACGGAGGAUGCAAGCGUUAUCCGGAAUGAUUGGGCGUAAAGCGUCCGCAGGUGGCUAUGUAAGUCUGCUGUUAAAGAGUGAGGCUCGACCUCAUAAGAGCAGUGGAAACUACAUGGCUAGAGUGCGUUCGGGGCAGAGGGAAUUCCUGGUGUAGCGGUGAAAUGCGUAGAUAUCAGGAAGAACACCGGUGGCGAAAGCGCUCUGCUAGGCCGCAACUGACACUGAGGGACGAAAGCUAGGGGAGCGAAUGGG